rnacentral:piRNA from 1 species
UAGUGGCGAAUGAGCUUGAUGCAGGAC